AUAUUCAGAACACGUACUUAAUUGAUACGAGCGCAGCUCAAUCAUCAGGACGCUAAACUUGGUUCAAGGUGAUAUUCUAGUCUCUCUAGACUACAUGCAUGACGGGAGGUAAGUAGAUUAUUGUCUUUGAAUAUUUGGUACUGGAAUUAUAUAUCUACAUAUAGUAGCAUAUGUUACCUACUAGCAAGGCAUUUUACUAGAAGUACUCAGUAUAAUGUGUCAAUGAUCUUGUACCGAUCCACUCUGCCGUGUGUCAUCAACGACGACCCUUCAUCCUAAUUUGAUAAUUAGGUUCUCUUAUGCAACUCUGAGGUCACAUAUACGUACUGAGAUAACCAACUUAUAAUUAUUAACCUAACCAUGCUAUGAACAAUUCUCUUCUAUCGUAAGGCUUCCAAUAAUAUAUGACAAAAUUCCGGAUGAAAGACACGACACGAUGUUUUAGUAGAGGUCAGGUCAGUAUAUGCACUAGCUACUUCCACCAAUUAAUCCACUCUGCGGAUGUCGAUCAACCCGUGUCAUUGUGUGAUAAUUUGACAAAAGAAACCUAAUUUCACAAAUUAAGUGUACCCCAAGCGAUGACUAGAGUCUCGCAAUCGACUAGCUAUAGGAGCUAGCAGUGGUGUUAUCGGCUUGUGGUGCAGGUCUAGAUGCAACUAUAUAUGAGAAUUAAGAAAUGAAGCAUGCAUGAGGAACGUUCCACUGGUCACAAGGGAGCUCAACGAAUGAUCCGAUUAGAGCGGCUACAAUAAUAGACAAUAAGUCAAGCUAUAAACACAUGUGAAUAUGAUAAGAGAGGGGAGAGAAGAGAAGCAGGCUACAACAAACAUAUUUAUAGCAAGUUACAGCAUAUACUCUAAGAUGUUGUGUGUGUAUAAUAGGUGUGACCAAUUAUUAAUGAUCAUAUACUAUAUAUAUUUGUAAGACUAACUAUUAUAAGGGAAUUGCUAAAAACCCAAAAUUUUUCAGUCGUCUGCCACAUAGAGAGUCCCUUAUAUAAAUUAGCUAUUAGAUCUAUUAUAUACUAAAAGUUCAUGAAACUUCCUACAAACGUUCCUAAAUCGCCAUGUGGCACUCCUAUAAACGCUCCUAAACCGCCACGUGGCACUAUCUAAUCUCACCGUCGAUUUUCACUUAUAUUGGUGGACCCGUUAUUUUAGAUCGUUAAAUUGGAUAUACACAGUUGAUUUUCACUUAAUUUAGUAGCUAGACCAUUAUUUUAGAUUUUAUAUAUAUAUAUACAUAUAUACACAUAUAUAUAUAUAUAUAUACAUAUACACAUAUGUAUAUAUAUAUAUACACAUAUGUGUAUAUAUAUAUACACACGCGGUGACGCUAAGUAGCGCCAGUAACGCGCCACCAACUAGCUAGCGCGCCACCCAGCCUCCCAACCCUCUCCUCCGAGAUUUUCGUUUUUUCUGGCGCCCCCACCUCCGCACCUUCCAAAAAGUAAAAAAAUUACUCCGCCUCCUGCCUCCGUUUUUUCCGUUCCCAGGAGGAUCGAUACAUCUUCCCCAAGUGCCUCCCUCAUACCGCAUACUUCCUUCUCAGUAAAAAUUUUACUAAAAAUUCUAGACCAAUAUCAGGCCUAUUUAUACAUCAG
rnacentral:lncRNA from 1 species